GUCUGCGGGGGCGGGGGUCGGGUGGAGAGGAGGGUUGGGAAAGCGUAGGAAACAGGCAUCGGAACAGAAACAGGAGCCGGAAAAGCGUUUUGUGCGCUUUAGGUGCUCCGAGUGGGAAUCUCAGAGCAGUACUCUUGGCCCGGAACUCCUCCACCUUGCCACAGUGGGAACAGUAGAGACAGAGCUCAGGAGCCCAGAGCAGGACAUGGAACUGGAACCGGAACAGGAAACACAAACGGAAGCAAACAGUGAAGUCCAACUGCCAAACUCCAGCUUGGUCGCCCAGAGCUGGACUUCCCUGAGUCUUGCAGGUGCAGGGCAUGUGCAGACUGUGCCAUCGUUCAUGUGCAACACCAAGGGAAGGAGAAGGGCGCCCAUGUCCACCACACUCACCAGAGGGGUAGCACUUGGCGACAGCACAAGAUGGCAGAUCCCGGGAGCCUGAAUAACUAUCACCUCCCCACCCCAUCAUCAGGUCCAAGUACUCCUCAGCGCCUGAAGUCAGAGCCCAUGACUCUCUGGGUCUUCUGUCCUGGGAUCAUCAGAGGUCAGAGCCAGGGCCGAGGCAAGGCUCAUAGGAGGUUAAGGAAGCACGGUAGCACACAGGCAGACAUGGUGCUGGAGAAGGGGCUGAGAGUUCUACAUCUUGGCAGGCAGCAGGAAGAGACAGUGAGCCAAUGGACCUCGCUUGAACUUCCGAAACCUCAAAGCCCACCACCAGAGUGACACACUUCUUCAAUGAGAUCACACCUCCUAAUGGUGCCAUGCCCUGUGAGCCAGUAAGGGCUAUUUUCAUUCAAACUACCACAUUCUACUCUCUGGCCCCUGAGAGUCUGUGGCCAUAUCAUAGUGCAAAGUCCAUCUGGUCUGACCAAAAGAGUCCCCAUGGUCUAUCACAGUCUCAACACGGCUUAAAAGUCCAAAGUUCGAAGUCUCUUCUGAGACUCAUGCAAUGUCUUAACUGUAAUCACCUGUAACAUCAAAUGAAAGCAGAUCACAUACUUCCGACAUGCAGCAGCACAUACUGUUCUGAAAGGGAGGAAAGGGAACAUACCGAGGAAGUACCAGACCAAAGCAAGAUGGCAACCAACUGGGCAAACUCCAAACUCCUUAUCUCCGCGUCUGAUGUCAGAGCAGACUUCAGAUCUCCAACUCCCUUCAGCUUUGUUGACUGCAACAUACUUCUGAAGUGGAAACU
rnacentral:sRNA from 1 species